GCCUGCACAAUGAAGAAGCAACCUAAGAAGGAUGAAGCUCCACACUGUGAGCUCAAAUCCUAUUCUAAGAACUUGGACACUCAGUCAUCCACCAUGGUAUUGGGUCCUGAACAGAAGAUGCCAGAUGAUGAUGCUUCUGGAGACCAUGGGGACCCUGCCAGUCUUGGUACCCUCAACCCUGCCUAUAGUAACUCAUCUCUUUCCCAGUCCACUGGGCACUCACAGGAGCCCUUCACCACCUACUUUGAUGAGAAGAUUGCCAUUCCUGAAGAGGAGUAUUCUUGUUUUAGCUUUCGUAAACUCUGGGCUUUCACGGGACCGGGCUUUCUUAUGAGUAUUGCCUACUUGGAUCCAGGAAACAUCGAGUCUGAUUUGCAGUCUGGAGCGGUGGCUGGAUUUAAGUUGCUCUGGGUUCUUCUGUUGGCCACCAUGGUGGGGCUCCUACUCCAGCGCCUUGCAGCUAGACUGGGAGUGGUCACAGGUUUGCAUCUUGCUGAAGUGUGUCACCGUCAGUAUCCCAGGGUCCCACGAAUUAUCCUAUGGCUGAUGGUGGAGUUGGCUAUCAUUGGCUCAGAUAUGCAAGAAGUUAUUGGCUCAGCCAUUGCCAUCAAUCUCCUGACUGUAGGAAGGGUUCCUCUAUGGGGUGGAGUUCUCAUCACCAUUGCAGAUACCUUUGUAUUUCUCUUUUUGGACAAGUACGGCUUACGGAAGCUAGAAGCAUUUUUUGGCUUUCUCAUCACUAUUAUGGCCCUCACAUUUGGAUAUGAGUAUGUUACAGUGAAACCCAGCCAGAGCCAGGUACUCAAGGGCAUGUUCCUGCCAUCCUGUCCAGGCUGUCACACCCCACAGAUCGAGCAGGCUGUGGGCAUCGUGGGAGCUGUCAUCAUGCCACACAAUAUGUACCUGCAUUCUGCCUUAGUCAAGUCCAGACAGGUAAACCGAGCCAAUAAGCAGGAGGUACGAGAAGCUAAUAAGUACUUUUUCAUUGAAUCCUGCAUUGCUCUCUUUGUUUCCUUCAUCAUCAACGUCUUUGUCGUCUCCGUCUUUGCCGAAGCAUUUUUUGAAAAAACCAACGACCAGGUGGUUGCAGUCUGUAGAAAUGCCAGCAGUCCGCACACUAGCCUCUUUCCUGACGAUAACUCGACACUGGCUGUGGACAUCUACAAAGGGGGUGUUGUACUGGGAUGUUACUUUGGGCCUGCUGCACUCUACAUCUGGGCAGUGGGGAUCCUGGCUGCAGGGCAGAGCUCUACCAUGACAGGAACCUAUUCUGGCCAGUUCGUCAUGGAGGGAUUCCUGAACCUAAAGUGGUCACGCUUUGCCCGAGUGAUUCUGACCCGCUCUAUUGCCAUCAUCCCCACUCUGCUUGUUGCCAUCUUCCAGGAUGUAGAGCAUCUAACAGGGAUGAAUGACUUCCUGAAUGUUCUGCAGAGCUUACAGCUUCCCUUUGCUCUCAUACCCAUCCUCACAUUUACGAGCUUGCGGCCAGUAAUGAGUGACUUUGCCAAUGGAAUAGGCUGGAGGAUUGCAGGCGGGAUCUUGGUCCUUAUCGUCUGUUCCAUCAACAUGUACUUUGUCAUGGUUUAUGUCCAGGAACUAGGGCAUGUGGCAUUGUAUGUGGUAGCUGCUGUGGUCAGUGUGGCUUAUCUGAGCUUUGUGUUAUACUUGGGUUGGCAAUGUUUGAUUGCACUGGGCAUGUCCUUCCUGGACUGUGGGCACACGUACCAUCUGGGACUGACAGCUCAGCCUGAACUCUACCUUCUCAACACCGUGGAUGCUGACUCACUUGUGUCUAGAUGACUGACAGCCUGAGAGACUGUUUAAGAACCACUUUGUCUUAGUCCUUUUGUGCCAGGUGUCCUGUUAACAUAUCUCUGUUAGUUCAGAGAGAAUGACUGAAACUUGGACUGAAAGGUAAUCUCCACUAAAUGAAGUUGCAAUGCCAGAGCUUUCUUGGUAUAAUUGUAAGGUACAGCAGUGAUUCUGUACUGGCAGUGAUUCUUCUUUACUGGGGCAAUGUUAUUGCCCAGGGAAAUCUGGCAAUUUCUGUAGCUAUUUUUGGUUGUCACUCUGGGGGUGGGUAGGUGCUAUUGGCAUCUAGAGGGUAGGGGCCAGGGAUGCUGCUAAACAUCCCGUAAUGCACAAGACAGCCCUCCACAGAGCAAUUAGUCCAAAAUGUCAGUAGUGCCGAGACUAAGAAACCCUGACAUUUGGGAAGGUAUCCAAAGGCUUAGGGAGAUUGGAAUGUUAAGGUAGAUUUAUCCUGCUCAUUCACCCCCUAAAUAUAUCUACUCGCUUCACCAAGGCUGGGGAAAACACAUUUGUGAAGGGAGUCCUGGCAUCCUUGGAGAGUUCCGUGGCAACUAUCUUCUGUAAGCCAGAAAUGACGGUGGAAACUGCUAAGCUUCCUGAAUUCAGUGGAGACGGUGGGAUCCUGAGAAGCAGGGGUCAAGGAGCACCAUUUAAUUGACAAAGACGAGGAAAGUGUGAUUACUGUAAUGGGCAGCAAAGACUAAACAGUAAUCAGAAUAGGCUAAGCCACAAAGACCUUUGGCAUUGUCUAAUUGAUUAUGGUGUCCCUAGAGUUGAAAGUGGUGGGCAACAUUGAAGCAGAAAAGCUCUAGGUUUGGUGAAUAAAAGUUUAACUUGAGUCAUCACAGUAGACAGCCAUGGGCCCCCAACCAAUUCCCAGAUUUGAGUCACUUCACAGACCCAGAGUCCCUUGAAUAAAGGAGAAGUCAGAUCUCCUUAAGAAAAGAUGCUGUUAACACGGCCAAAAAGUAAAUACUAUGAACAGAUCUGUGGCCAUUCACUAAGAUGCCUAUGCAUAAGGAAUGGCAAAUGAUCACAUUUGUGAGAUUAUGAAACACUGGCUCUGAAUUGAUACGAAUGCCUGGAGAAUUAGGGCAGUCUACCAGUCAAGCUAGGAGUUUAUGAAGGUCAGGUGGUCAGUGGAGUUUUGCUGUGGGUCCGUUUUGCAGUUGGCCUGGUGGGCCCCUAAAUCCAUAUGUCAUUUGGAUUGUCAUUUCCCCAGUUCUGGAAGGUGUAACUGGAAGGGCCAUACUCAGCAACUGUCAGAAUCCUCACAUCAGUUCCCUGACCUGGGGUGUAAGGGCUAUUAUGGUGGGGAAAGCCAACUGUAAGCCGUUCUACUUGCCUGUAUCUACCAAAAGAGUAAACCAAAGCAGUACUGCAUUCCUAGAUGGACUGUGGAGAUUAGUGCCCUCAUCAAGGACUUUAAAGAUGCUAGGGUGGGGAUUCCUCCACAUACCAAUUCAAUUUGCCUCUUUGGCUAGAAGACAGAUGGCUCUUGGAGAAUGAUAAUGGAUUUCUAUAAACUUAAUCAGAUGAUCACUCUAAUUGCAGCUGUUGUCCAGGUGUGGUUUCAUUGCUAGAGCCUAUCAAUACAAGCAUCUUUGCUGUUUGAUUCGCAGCUGUUAAUCUGGUUGAUUGCUUUAUUCUCUAGAGCUUUCAAUAAAAACUACCAAAAGCAUUUUGCUUUCACCCGGUUGGGCCAAGAGUAUACUUUCACUAUUCAGUCUCAGGGCUGCCUGAAUUCUCCAGACUAUGCCAUAAUCUGGUCUGCAAGGACUUUGAUCAUCGCUCCAUUGCACAGGACAGCACGUUAAUCCAUUACAUUGAUCUGAUCUAUCAAGGGGAGAUUACGGUACUACUAUAUAAUGGUAAGGUAAGGUGGUAUGUGUGGAAUGCAUGUAUCUUCUGGGCAUUUUUUAGUACUCCCAUGUCCUGUGAUUAAAGACCGUGGAAAACUAUACCCAAUACAAGCAGACUGGCUAAGGACCGAGACCAUUUAGGAAUGAAGGUGUGGGUCACCAUUCUAGUCAAAUAACCACGAAUAGCCAAGGUGCUUGCUGAAGGCAAAGUGAGUGAGAAAUGACUAGUGGAAGAACAUAGUUAUAAUACCAGCCAUGACCAUCCGGCCAGUUGUAGAAACAAAGUCUGAUGGGACUAUUUCUUGCUUAUUUUGAUAUGAAUACAUUUGUAUAUACAUUAUUUUUUUUUUCUAUUUGCUACUUCCAUUUAUCUACCAUCUAAUGUAAAAAGUGUUAAUAAUACUUAAUCUUACAUUUCAGGAUUUAGGUUACAGGAUAUCAAACGGGAAUGUGACUCUAUUCAGAGACAAAUCAACACCACCCAAAGAUGGGUAAAAGGAUUUUUGUAUCCUCUUUUGGGACAGAAUUAGCAUGUUUUUGGUUAUACAAUGGAUGGUUGAUUUUGCCAUUGUCUUUAUUUGAAAGUUAAGUGUAUUAAAAGAGAUGUACAUGGAUGCCAGGUUGACAAGGCCUAGUGGUAAGUUUGUGUUGUGUCAACUUAAGCUAAACUAUAACUACAUUUCCAGAAUUCCUUUCCGUUUAUUCCCUGAGUUAUUGCAGAAGAAACACUUUGCAUAAGGUUUAGAGGACAGAAGUGAAGCAGCAGCUAAAUUCAUUUUUUUCUUGGAAGGCAGCACAUGUUUGCUUAUCUGCUGGUCCACUUUGUUGGCAUGGGGCAACAACUAGGAAUGCAUCUACUGUGGACCUGCUUAAUUUCCUCCUUCACCUUUUCUGACUCCUUGGCUAGGUUCAUGUUUAUCUCCAAGAUGAAGGGCAUCAUUUUUCCCUCUGUCACUCCCAUCAUCGAAUUCAGAGGCUUAGAGAUGGUGAGAAACCCACAAGGGUUCCAGUCUAUCCUAUGUGUUCAGCCCAUCCUUGUAGCUUUCAGAUUUUUCUUGCUUCUCUCACUUUACAUCUACUU